rnacentral:sRNA from 1 species
AUAAUUCCUGCUCUGGAAACUCACCGAGCCAUUUCAGCUGCGCUCUAGAGGAGCAAACCAGGGGGACUCUUGCCCCCCUGCUGAAGGAGACCAAAACAAUGCUUGAUCAGGAAACACCAUCUGGCUUUGCCCCCAGGACUCUGACUGCCCUGGGGAGGGCGCAGUGACCUGCCAACCAAAAUUGGUACAAUUGUAAACAGCCACAGAAAUGCUUAAAUGCAAUAUCAUUUCUAUGAAAUUAACGUGUUUCCAUUCCAUUCCAGCCACCAAAAUUGCCCGUUUGAGCUCAGCCCUCAACACAAAGAUGCCUGUGUGGCUUUGCCUAACGUUGGGUCACUGUUUUCUGCAUAGGAGACAGUUACUGUGUGUGUGUAUGUGUCUGUGUCUGUGUGUGUGUGUAUGUACGUGUACACACUUAAAGCCUGUUGCAAAAACAAGAUGCCCAAUAUGUUUCUUGUUUCUGAUAUUUUUCCAAGGGGGUUGAAGGGCAAGAUUAAGAAGGAAAGCUCCAAGAGGGAGCUGCUUUCCGACACUGCCCAUCUGAACGAGACCCACUGCGCCCACUGCCUGCAGCCCUACCGGCUGCUUGUGAAUAGCAAAAGGCAGUGCCUGGAAUGUGGCCUCUUCACCUGCAAAAGCUGUGGCCGCGUCCACCCGGAGGAGCAGGGCUGGAUCUGUGACCCCUGCCAUCUGGCCAGAGUCGUGAAGAUCGGCUCACUGGAGUGGUACUAUGAGCAUGUGAAAGCCCGCUUCAAGAGGUUCGGAAGUGCCAAGGUCAUCCGGUCCCUCCACGGGCGGCUGCAGGGUGGAGCUGGGCCUGAACCGAUAUCUGAAGAGAGAAGUGGAGACAGCGACCAGACAGAUGAGGAUGGAGAACCUGACUCAGAGGCCCAGGCCCAGGCCCAGCCCUUUGGCAGCAAAAAAAAGCGCCUCCUCUCCGUCCACGACUUCGACUUCGAGGGAGACUCAGAUGACUCCACUCAGCCUCAAGGUCACUCCCUGCACCUGUCCUCAGUCCCUGAGGCCAGGGACAGCCCACAGUCCCUCACAGAUGAGUCCUGCUCGGAGAAGGCAGCCCCCCACAAGACUGAGGGCCUGGAGGAGGCUGACACUGGGGCCUCUGGGUGCCAAUCCCAUCCGGAAGAGCAGCCGACCAGCAUCUUGCCUUCUGGACACAGCACCCUGGCUGAGCUCUGCCCGCCUGGAGGCUCCCACAGGAUGGCCCUGGGGACUGCUGCUGCACUCGGGUCGAAUGUCAUCAGGAAUGAGCAGCUGCCCCUGCAGUACUUGGCCGAUGUGGACACCUCUGAUGAGGAAAGCAUCCGGGCUCACGUGAUGGCCUCCCACCAUUCCAAGCGGAGAGGCCGGGCGUCUUCUGAGAGUCAGGGUCUAGGCGCUGGAGUGCGCACGGAGGCCGAUGUGGAGGAGGAGGCCCUGAGGAGGAAGCUGGAGGAGCUGACCAGCAACGUCAGUGACCAGGGGACCUCGUCCGAGGAGGAGGAGGCCAAGGACGAAAAGGCAGAGCCCAACAGGGGCAAAUCAGUUGGGGCUCUCCCCCAGGCGGACCCGGAGGUUUCAGACAUCGAAUCCAGGAUUGCAGCCCUGAGGGCCGCAGGGCUCACGGUGAAGCCCUCGGGAAAGCCCCGGAGGAAGUCAAACCUCCCGAUAUUUCUCCCUCGAGUGGCUGGGAAACUUGGCAAGAGACCAGAGGACCCAAAUGCAGACCCUUCAAGUGAGGCCAAGGCAAUGGCUGUGCCCUAUCUUCUGAGAAGAAAGUUCAGUAAUUCCCUGAAAAGUCAAGGUAAAGAUGAUGAUUCUUUUGAUCGGAAAUCAGUGUACCGAGGCUCGCUGACACAGAGAAACCCCAACGCGAGGAAAGGAAUGGCCAGCCACACCUUCGCGAAACCUGUGGUGGCCCACCAGUCCUAACGGGACAGGACAGAGAGACAGAGCAGCCCUGCACUGUUUUCCCUCCACCACAGCCAUCCUGUCCCUCAUUGGCUCUGUGCUUUCCACUGUACACAGUCACCGUCCCAAUGAGAAACAAGAAGGAGCACCCUCCACAUGGACUCCCACCUGAAAGUGGACAGCGACAUUCAGUCCUGCACUGCUCACCUGGGUUUACUGAUGACUCCUGGCUGCCCCACCAUCCUCUCUGAUCUGUGAGAAACAGCUAAGCUGCUGUGACUUCCCUUUAGGACAAUGUUGUGUAAAUCUUUGAAGGACACACCGAAGACCUUUAUACUGUGAUCUUUUACCCCUUUCACUCUUGGCUUUCUUAUGUUGCUUUCAUGAAUGGAAUGGAAAAAAGAUGACUCAGUUAAGGCACC